rnacentral:rRNA from 1 species
UACGUAGGGACCAAGCGUUGUCCGGAAUCAUUGGGCGUAAAGCGCGCGUAGGCGGCCCGGUAAGUCCGUCGUGAAAGUCAAAGGCUCAACCCAGGAACUGCGUCCGAUACUGGUUGGCUUGAAUCCGGGAGAGGGAUGUGGAAUUCCAGGUGUAGCGGUGAAAUGCGUAGAUAUCUGGAGGAACACCGGUGGCGAAGGCGACAUCCUGGACCGACAUUGACGCUGAGGCGCGAAAGCCAGGGGAGCAAACAGG